CGUAGGGGGCGAGCGUUGUCCGGAUUUACUGGGCGUAAAGCGCGUGUAGGCGGCUGCUUAAGUCGGGUGUGAAAGCCCGGGGCUCAACCCCGGGAUGCCGCCCGAGACUGGGCGGCUUGAGGUCGGAAGAGGGGAGUGGAAUUCCAGGUGUAGCGGUGAAAUGCGUAGAGAUCUGGAGGAACACCCGUGGCGAAGGCGGCUCCCUGGUCCGGUUCUGACGCUGAGACGCGAAAGCGCGGGGAGCGAACGGGAUUAGAUACCCCGGUAGUCCGCGCCGUAAACGAUGGUCACUAGGUGUGCGUGGUAUCGACCCCACGCGUGCCGGCGCUAACGCAUUAAGUGACCCGCCUGGGGAGUACGGCCGCAAGGUUG
rnacentral:rRNA from 1 species